GGGUUGUGAGGUUAAGCGACUAAGCGUACACGGUGGAUGCCCUGGCAGUCAGAGGCGAUGAAGGACGUGCUAAUCUGCGAAAAGCGUCGGUAAGGUGAUAUGAACCGUUACAGCCGGCGAUGUCCGAAUGGGGAAACCCAGUGUGAUUCGUCACACUAUCGUUAACUGAAUACAUAGGUUAACGAGGCGAACCGGGGGAACUGAAACAUCUAAGUACCCCGAGGAAAAGAAAUCAACCGAGAUUCCCCCAGUAGCGGCGAGCGAACGGGGAGCAGCCCAGAGUCUGAAUCAGCUUGUGUGUUAGUGGAACGGUCUGGAAAGUCCGACGGUACAGGGUGAUAGUCCCGUACACCAAAAUGCACAGGCUGUGAACUCGAAGAGUAGGGCGGGACACGUGGUAUCCUGUCUGAAUAUGGGGGGACCAUCCUCCAAGGCUAAAUACUCCUGACUGACCGAUAGUGAACCAGUACCGUGAGGGAAAGGCGAAAAGAACCCCGGCGAGGGGAGUGAAAAAGAACCUGAAACCGUGUACGUACAAGCAGUGGGAGCACCUUCGGGUGUGACUGCGUACCUUUUGUAUAAUGGGUCAGCGACUUAUAUUCUGUAGCAAGGUUAACCGUAUAGGGGAGCCGCAGGGAAACCGAGUCUUAACUGGGCGUUAAGUUGCAGGGUAUAGACCCGAAACCCGGUGAUCUAGCCAUGGGCAGGUUGAAGGUUGGGUAACACUAACUGGAGGACCGAACCGACUAAUGUUGAAAAAUUAGCGGAUGACUUGUGGCUGGGGGUGAAAGGCCAAUCAAACCGGGAGAUAGCUGGUUCUCCCCGAAAGCUAUUUAGGUAGCGCCUCGUGAACUCAUCUUCGGGGGUAGAGCACUGUUUCGGCUAGGGGGUCAUCCCGACUUACCAACCCGAUGCAAACUACGAAUACCGAAGAAUGUUAUCACGGGAGACACACGGCGGGUGCUAACGUCCGUCGUGAAGAGGGAAACAACCCAGACCGCCAGCUAAGGUCCCAAAGUCAUGGUUAAGUGGGAAACGAUGUGGGAAGGCACAGACAGCCAGGAUGUUGGCUUAGAAGCAGCCAUCAUUUAAAGAAAGCGUAAUAGCUCACUGGUCGAGUCGGCCUGCGCGGAAGAUGUAACGGGGCUAAACCAUGCACCGAAGCUGCGGCAGCGACACUAUGUGUUGUUGGGUAGGGGAGCGUUCUGUAAGCCUGCGAAGGUGUGCUGUGAGGCAUGCUGGAGGUAUCAGAAGUGCGAAUGCUGACAUAAGUAACGAUAAAGCGGGUGAAAAGCCCGCUCGCCGGAAGACCAAGGGUUCCUGUCCAACGUUAAUCGGGGCAGGGUGAGUCGACCCCUAAGGCGAGGCCGAAAGGCGUAGUCGAUGGGAAACAGGUUAAUAUUCCUGUACUUGGUGUUACUGCGAAGGGGGGACGGAGAAGGCUAUGUUAGCCGGGCGACGGUUGUCCCGGUUUAAGCAUGUAGGCUGAUUAUCCAGGCAAAUCCGGAUAAUCAAGGCUGAGGUGUGAUGACGAGGCACUACGGUGCUGAAGUAACAAAUGCCCUGCUUCCAGGAAAAGCCUCUAAGCAUCAGGUAACAUCAAAUCGUACCCCAAACCGACACAGGUGGUCAGGUAGAGAAUACCAAGGCGCUUGAGAGAACUCGGGUGAAGGAACUAGGCAAAAUGGUGCCGUAACUUCGGGAGAAGGCACGCUGGUGUGUAGGUGAAGUCCCUGCGGAUGGAGCUGAGACCAGUCGAAGAUACCAGCUGGCUGCAACUGUUUAUUAAAAACACAGCACUGUGCAAACACGAAAGUGGACGUAUACGGUGUGACGCCUGCCCGGUGCCGGAAGGUUAAUUGAUGGGGUUAUCCGUAAGGAGAAGCUCUUGAUCGAAGCCCCGGUAAACGGCGGCCGUAACUAUAACGGUCCUAAGGUAGCGAAAUUCCUUGUCGGGUAAGUUCCGACCUGCACGAAUGGCGUAAUGAUGGCCAGGCUGUCUCCACCCGAGACUCAGUGAAAUUGAACUCGCUGUGAAGAUGCAGUGUACCCGCGGCAAGACGGAAAGACCCCGUGAACCUUUACUAUAGCUUGACACUGAACAUUGAGCCUUGAUGUGUAGGAUAGGUGGGAGGCUUUGAAGCGUGGACGCCAGUCUGCGUGGAGCCAACCUUGAAAUACCACCCUUUAAUGUUUGAUGUUCUAACGUUGGCCCCUGACCGGGGUUGCGGACAGUGUCUGGUGGGUAGUUUGACUGGGGCGGUCUCCUCCCAAAGCGUAACGGAGGAGCACGAAGGUUAGCUAAUCCUGGUCGGACAUCAGGAGGUUAGUGCAAUGGCAUAAGCUAGCUUGACUGCGAGCGUGACGGCGCGAGCAGGUGCGAAAGCAGGUCAUAGUGAUCCGGUGGUUCUGAAUGGAAGGGCCAUCGCUCAACGGAUAAAAGGUACUCCGGGGAUAACAGGCUGAUACCGCCCAAGAGUUCAUAUCGACGGCGGUGUUUGGCACCUCGAUGUCGGCUCAUCACAUCCUGGGGCUGAAGUAGGUCCCAAGGGUAUGGCUGUUCGCCAUUUAAAGUGGUACGCGAGCUGGGUUUAGAACGUCGUGAGACAGUUCGGUCCCUAUCUGCCGUGGGCGCUGGAGAAUUGAGGGGGGCUGCUCCUAGUACGAGAGGACCGGAGUGGACGCAUCACUGGUGUUCGGGUUGUCAUGCCAAUGGCACUGCCCGGUAGCUAAAUGCGGAAGAGAUAAGUGCUGAAAGCAUCUAAGCACGAAACUUGCCCCGAGAUGAGUUCUCCCUGAGACUUUAAGUCUCCUGAAGGAACGUU
rnacentral:rRNA from 1 species